AAUCCAUGCUGUGGGCACCUCCACAGAAGAUCCUCGAAGCACUCCCAUAUCUCAAACAAUGACUCCAACUCGAUCUGUACAAACGACGAAAUCUUAUUGCGAAGCUU